GUGAAUCAUCGAAUUUUUGAACGCAAAUUGCACUCUCUGCGGAGAGUAUGAGUGUUUGAGGGUCAGUAUUAAUAAAAAUCGGUGUGUUGCUGCUUUGUGACGCUCCGGAGUGUGGGUCAUCUUGAUAGUCGUUAGGGUUUAAGAGGCUUAAAAUUGACUUUUUUUGAGCAUUUUAGAUGUACAUAAAUUCUUUUUUUUAUUCGUCUGUCUUAAGGCUCAAAGUCCUAUGAGAUGCGACCAUAUCGUGUGGUUUCGUGUCUAUAAAUUUUUCAUGAUGUGACCUCAACUCAGGUAGGAGUA
rnacentral:misc_RNA from 1 species